UACAGAGACUGCAAGCGUUAUUCGGAUUCACUGGGCGUAAAGGGUGCGCAGGCGGCCAAGUGUGUCAGGUGUGAAAUCCCGAGGCUUAACCUCGGAACUGCGCCUGAAACUACUUGGCUAGAGUACUGGAGAGGGUAACGGAAUUCACGGUGUAGCAGUGAAAUGCGUAGAUAUCGUGAGGAACACCAGAGGCGAAGGCGGUUACCUGGACAGUUACUGACGCUCAGGCACGGAAAGCGUGGGGAGCAAAAGGG
rnacentral:rRNA from 1 species